AGUGGCGGACGGGUGAGUAACGCGUGAGAAUCUGCCUUGGGGUCGGGGACAACCACUGGAAACGGUGGCUAAUACCGGAUAAGCCGAUUGGUGAAAGAUUUAUUGCCCGAAGAGGAGCUCGCGUCUGAUUAGCUAGUUGGUGAGGUAAGAGCUCACCAAGGCAGCGAUCAGUAGCUGGUCUGAGAGGACGAUCAGCCACACUGGGACUGAGACACGGCCCAGACUCCUACGGGAGGCAGCAGUGGGGAAUUUUCCGCAAUGGGCGAAAGCCUGACGGAGCAAGACCGCGUGAGGGAGGAAGGCUCUUGGGUUGUAAACCUCUUUUCUCAGGGAAGAAGCUCUGACGGUACCUGAGGAAUCAGCCUCGGCUAACUCCGUGCCAGCAGCCGCGGUAAUACGGAGGAGGCAAGCGUUAUCCGGAAUUAUUGGGCGUAAAGCGUCCGCAGGUGGCGAUUCAAGUCUGCUGUCAAAGCACGGGGCUUAACUCCGUAAAGGCAGUGGAAGCUGAAUAGCUAGAGUGCCGUAGGGGUAGAGGGAAUUCCCGGUGUAGCGGUGAAAUGCGUAGAGAUCGGGAAGAACAUCGGUGGCGAAAGCGCUCUACUGGACGGCAACUGACACUCAGGGACGAAAGCUAGGGGAGCGAAUGGGAUUAGAUACCCC
rnacentral:rRNA from 1 species